GCAUGGAAUACAAAACCGCUCGAUAAUCGCGAUUAUCGGUGAAAUUUAUCGUUACCGAUGCUAGCUGAAAACGUAAACCGACUGGAAUUUCGCUGGAUUUCAAUGGAAAAUUCAAAAAUUUAAAAAAAUUCAUAAAAAGUAGAGAACUUAUUUUUAUAAAAAACUAGACAUUCUCUUGAUUCCAGAAUGUUGUCACAUGUUGAAAGCAACAAUUGUUUGUUUAGGGAAAAAUAUUUUUUUCGAUGAUGCUGCAGCUGGGAGCGAGGGAGCUGUGCUCGUGGCGUCGAUAAUCGAGGUGAAUGUCUGAUAAUCAGGACUUACUUUGGGAACAUGGAGAGAAGAUUAGCAUUGGCUUCAAGUGCAAGUAUUAUCGUGUUGAAAAGGUGGAGGAGGGGCAACCCAUGCCACACAAAAUCAUGGUCAACCCAUGUCACAACGGAGGACGACAAGCAACCGACGUCGAUCUGAUCCUCGGGAAGGUGAUAGCUCCAGCUCAGUAAGUUCAACCUUCAGCUAUCCACGUCCACCCUCCUACCCAUAUCCAUACCCACAACCAUACCCAUAUCCGUACCCACAACCAUAUUCACACCCACCACCAUAUCCAAGCCACUUCAUUCAACUACCGGUACAUCUUGACAUGAGCACUAGUGGUCAGAUUGGUGAAUUACAGAUAUGUAUGUAUCUAUAUUACAAUUUCAUCAUUAUGUGUUCCCCUCU